rnacentral:rRNA from 1 species
CCUACGGGGGGCUGCAGUGGGGAAUAUUGGACAAUGGGCGCAAGCCUGAUCCAGCCAUACCGCGUGGGUGAAGAAGGCCUUCGGGUUGUAAAGCCCUUUUGUUGGGAAAGAAAUCCAGCUGGUUAAUACCCGGUUGGGAUGACGGUACCCAAAGAAUAAGCACCGGCUAACUUCGUGCCAGCAGCCGCGGUAAUACGAAGGGUGCAAGCGUUACUCGGAAUUACUGGGCGGAAAGCGUGCGUAGGUGGUAAAGCCCUGGGCUCAACCUGGGAACUGCAGUGGAUACUGGGCGACUAGAGUGUGGUAGAGGGUAGCGGAAUUCCUGGUGUAGCAGUGAAAUGCGUAGAGAUCAGGAGGAACAUCCAUGGCGAAGGCAGCUACCUGGACCAACACUGACACUGAGGCACGAAAGCGUGGGGAGCAAACAGGAUUAGAUACCCGAGUAGUC